rnacentral:tRNA from 1 species
GCGGGGGUUGUAGAGCCUGGCCAAAUACGCGGGACUUAAGAUCACAGUUAUAGGUGAUCCCGUCUCUCAGGGGUUCGUGGGUUCGAAUCCCACCCCCCGCA